CUGGGGCGGGGCUUCCAGCUUUCGUCCGGCCUUCUCGGUCUUUGAGCGUGGGGGCCCCGGCUGGGCGCAGGUGUCUGAGGGUUCCCGGGGGCGGACCCAAACUUGCUCGGGAGAGGUUGGCUCCUAGGCGUCCCGGUUCCUAAGCCCACCAAAGGGACUGAGUCUCAGAGCGUAACGUCAGACCCAGUUUGCCUUCUGGGGAAAGCUGGCCCAAGUGAGUCACCCAAUCCAUCCAUCGUGCCCGAGGGAUUACUACCAGAGUGGAGAAGUGUCAGGGCCAGGACCUGGAAGUUUCAUCUCUCCGGUACUCUAGCCCACGAGAAGUCAGGUUGGUCUAACCGACCUAAACCUAGGACAGAUACUUGGUACCUUCAUAGUCUUCUUUGAAAAGCAGAUAGAAGUGCAAUAAUUGCUUGGCUUUCACACCGUCCUUGGACAAGGCUCUCCAUAACAGGAUUCAGUCGUGUGUUGCAGCACUGCCUCUAAGGAUAAAAGCCAGGAAACAAUCAACUCUUGGAUUUGUAAGAGACUGAGGAUAUACAAGGGCAGGAAUCUCCAAGAUGAAUAAUAAAAGCAAAAAAGGAGUUUAUAUAAGAGACAUUUACAUAUGACAAAAGAAGUAAGCCAGCAACGGUAAAAUCACACCAAAACAAGGAAGGGGAAGGGAAGGGUCAAGGCAGGGACGGGAAUGGCUGAGCACUGCAGGCAGGAGAGGAGAGCCUUUGAGGUCUUCACCUGAGAGCGCUCAAGCUUGGGGAGCAAAUUAUCUAUCUUAAAAAUUAGGUAUUAGGACAACAGCAGAGUAGCUUUGAUGCAAUCAUUUCUCAAUUACACUGUACAAAUAAGACAUCACUGGAUUAAUGAUUAAAAGGAAGCACAUCUGGAUCAGCACAGAAGGUGACAGUCACAGUGGCUAUUCCAGGUGUCCCAGACAUCACCUAUGUCUGUAGGAGGUUUUUACCUUUAUCAUUUCUUCUUCUCCUGCUGUUUUAUUCUUUGCUUCUAUAUCGCCUGCUUCAUUACAUCUAAUAAAGCAGCUAUUUGAGGCCAGUAAAGCCAUCUUCCCCUAAAUAAAACAAAGAAAAAAAAAUCAAGCUAUGAACACUUGCAGAAAUCUUAAGUCAUUUUGCUAAUGUAAAAUUUUCUCCCCAAUUCUAAGAUAAAAAAAACUUUUUAGACAAAGCCAGGAAAACAUAAAAACAUAGAAAGGGGGAACCAAAACCACCCCAAAUAAGUCUUAACAAUUUCCAACCGUCAUCCCGACAAACGCUGAGGCUGCAGGGCCGGAGGCUCAGCUCAGAGGCAGAGCAUCACACCGCUGGCUCCUCCCUCCAGCCGGACAGCAUCCCGACUGCACGGCGUCACUCCUUUAACGCCUGUCUCUAAAGACAGCUCACUAGGUAAGCUAAAGAUUGUCUUCAAAGAAAAUAAAACUUAGGAGUAAUAUAUAAUAAUUUAUUGAAACACUAGUAUUUUGAAUGGAAUUGACUUUUCUCCAUAAUUAAAGCAUUAAAAAGCUAGCUUUUGGCCUAGAGUAUUGUAUUGUAUUUUGGCUAGUAUUUUGGCCUAGACAUAUUCUUUUGGGGUGGCGUGGGGGUCUAGUGUUUAUGACUAUACUGAUUCAUAUUAAAUAAAUCCUCCCAAAUUAAUUUUCUUGUGGCUUUGAAUGUGAAUUAUAAAUUCUCUUAAUGUCUAUAUUAUGGUUUAGCUAAAAUUUUAAUUUGGAUGAUUUUUCUGGAAAACUCUGAAUAUUAUCAGAAAAAAUCACAAUACAAUAAUUACAGAAUAAUCUUGAAAUAGACAAUUAGAAUCGUGUGAGUCAUAUGGAUUUUGUUUAGUGUCUUAUUUAAGGUGGCAGGAACUCCACUGUAUACAGCCAUGUGCUCCAGAAUCCACCUGCAGAUCACUCUGCUUCUGCAAUUUAAACUGUUACAUCAGAGAGCUUAAGUCUUUCCUUGAAACUGUAAGAAUGGAAAGUGUCUUCCGAAAAGUAAAAUGAAAUUAAACGUC